rnacentral:piRNA from 1 species
UAACGGAAUCCGGGUAGACAGUGAUUUGU